rnacentral:rRNA from 1 species
GACGAACGCUGGCGGCGUGCUUAACACAUGCAAGUCGAACGGUAAGGCCCUUCGGGGUACACGAGUGGCGAACGGGUGAGUAACACGUGGGUGAUCUGCCCUGCACUUCGGGAUAAGCCUGGGAAACUGGGUCUAAUACCGGAUAGGACCACUGCCUGCAUGGGUGGUGGUGGAAAGCUUUUGCGGUGUGGGAUGGGCCCGCGGCCUAUCAGCUUGUUGGUGGGGUGAUGGCCUACCAAGGCGACGACCGGUAGCCGGCCUGAGAGGGUGACCGGCCACACGGGGACUGAGAUGCGGGCCAGACUGCUAGGGGAGGCAGCAGGGGGGAAUAUUGCACAAUGGGCGCAAGCCUGAUGCAGCGACGCCGCGUGAGGGAUGACGGCCUUCGGGUUGUAACCCUCUUUCAGCACCGACGAAGCGCAAGUGACGGUAGGUGCAGAAGAAGGACCGGCCAACUACGUGCCAGCAGCCGCCGUAA